GUCGCCUUGAAUCGUGGGAAAUCUUAGCAGGUAGCGAAUAUGUGUGUGUAUACAUAUAAAUAAAGUUGAAAUGAAGACUCACAGCAACAAAGGAAUGGAAAACGAUUGCGAAGCAACAGAGUACAUGGGAACAAUCAUAAUCACAUUGUUUUGUGGUUAAGAAAGGAGCCUGGAAGAAAGCAGGUAUGGAGUCAACCCCGCUGAUAGUUGUCAAAGACAUGGUGCUCAUUUGUACGUUGUAAACGCAGAC